UCUUAUCUUAUCUUAUCUCUCUCUAUAUACACCUCUUUGCAUUUUGAAUAUUAGUCAUUAUUAAUUUCUGGCUGUCUUUCACAGUGAGGCUUCAUUCUGUCUUCCAGUUGGUCACAGUAGAUGGCAGACCCUUCCUGACCAUGGUACUGCUGGAGGUUUCUCCUGUUAAAAGGGAGGUUUUCCUCAGUCAGAGUAUAUUACCUGUUUUAUUGUGAAGGUCUGCGUCUUAUGUCAGUGUAUUCAGUUCUCCCUGUUGCAUCAUGUCAAUUAGGUUCAGCCGUGUUUCCCUCUGUGUGACUCCUCUUAUGCUCCUCAUGGCACUGUCCGUGUUGUCUCCCCGACUCUCCUUGUGUUUCUGCCAUACGUUUUAAGGUUUCAGGUUUUCAGUAUAUGUUAUCCUUAGUUUCUGUUUAUGCCCUCUCCGCCUCUGUUUGCACCUAACCUCCUGAAUAAAACUCCCUGCAUUUUGGGUACUCUAUAACAACUCCACACCUCUGUCGCCGCAGCUGUGGAAGUACGGACCAGCCACACGUAGAGAUGCCUGGCCUGUCGGAGCCACCUCCGAAGAGAAAGCAGAGCUGCGUCGCCAGCACGUCUCUCCACAGCAGGGUUUUGGGACUUCAGAGCAGCAAGAUGUGAUUGGUUUUUUUGAACUACUAGAAGGAUUCUGGAGAACCACUGACGGCGAGAACAGCCCAAAUGAGAUCCUGGAUGAUCGUGAAAUGGUGUGGCCAGCCAUGCGAUCGGAUUGUGGGAUUUGUCUGAGAAACUGAUUCAAGCAACCCUGGAUUUCAGAUAAGCCCUAUGCACUACUUUUCCUACCCGGAUAAUAGGGUUUGCACACUGACAAUUCCCCUACAGUACACCUGUUUGGGUUUUCAACGACUUUAAAGGACAAUUCAGACUGGACAAUUCAAACUUCACAACGGGAACACUUUAAUCUGUUUCAUUCAUUCCAAAGAGCUCUGAUACAGUUCAGUAUAAAUCUUCCAUUUAAAUGUCUUUAUUUUGUUUUGUUUUACAUGUAUUCACCUUUAAAAUGCACUAUUAGUGUGCAGUUUGGGUUAUUGUGUUGUAUAUGUAUAUAAAUGGUACUGAGGCAAUAAAGGUCACAGUUAUUCACUUCCAA